AUAGAUGCGAUGAUAGGGAAGAGUAAAUUUUGUGUACAUUUUAUAGAGAGGAAAUGGUAGCUGGAAAGUUUCUAUUUGUACGAAAUUGAAGGUAGCCCUUGAGCAGCUUUAGUGAACUAAUAGUAGUUAAAGCCGGUUAAACACCGUUACCGAAUUAAGAGCCAGUAGGGUAGGCUAAGAAAAAAUUCUUAACCACUGCUGGAAUUAAAGGUGGUACCGCGAACUAAAACUCCUUCGUCCUUUUA
rnacentral:ncRNA from 1 species